GGUGGCUCAGCGGUAGAGCGCUUGCCUUGCAUGCAUGAGGACCUGGGUUCGAUUCCUCAGUACCA
rnacentral:tRNA from 1 species